CAGCCGCCACGGGAAAACGAAGGGUGCAAGCGUUAAUCGGAAUUACUGGGCGUAUAGCGUGCGCAGGCGGUUGUGUAAGACAGGUGUGAAAUCCCCGGGCUUAACCUGGGAACUGCGCUUGUGACUGCACAGCUAGAGUAUGGCAGAGGGGGGUGGAAUUCCACGUGUAGCAGUGAAAUGCGUAGAUAUAUGGAGGAACACCAGUGGCGAAGGCGACUCUCUGGUCUGUAACUGACGUUGAGGCUCGAAAGCGUGGGUAGCAAACAGGAUUAGAUACCCGCGUAGUCCCUGACUCUUAUAC
rnacentral:rRNA from 1 species